rnacentral:rRNA from 1 species
AAACUACAAAGGAAUUGACGGGACCCGCACAAGCGGUGGAUGAUGUGGUUUAAUUCGAUGCAACGCGAAAACCUUACCCACCUUUGACAUGGCAGGAAUCCUAAAGAGAUUUGGGAGUGCUCGAAAGAGAACCUGCACACAGGUGCUGCAUGGCUGUCGUCAGCUCGUGUCGUGAGAUGUUGGGUUAAGUCCCGCAACGAGCGCAACCCUUGCCAUUAGUUGCUACGAAAGGGCACUCUAAUGGGACUGCCGGUGACAAACCGGAGGAAGGUGGGGAUGACGUCAAGUCCUCAUGGCCCUUAUAGGUGGGGCUACACACGUCAUACAAUGGCCGGUACAGAGGGUAGCCAACCCGCGAGGGGGAGCCAAUCCCACAAAGCCGGUCGUAGUCCGGAUCGCAGUCUGCAACUCGACUGCGUGAAGUCGGAAUCGCUAGUAAUCGCGGAUCAGCAUGUCGCGGUGAAUACGUUCCCGGGUCUU